rnacentral:rRNA from 1 species
AUGAACGCUAGCUACAGGCUUAACACAUGCAAGUCGAGGGGCAGCGGGAUUGAAGCUUGCUUCAAUUGCCGGCGACCGGCGCACGGGUGAGUAACGCGUAUCCAACCUUCCGUACACUCAGGGAUAGCCUUUCGAAAGAAAGAUUAAUACCUGAUGGUAUGAUGAGAUUGCAUGAUAGCAUCAUUAAAGAUUUAUCGGUGUACGAUGGGGAUGCGUUCCAUUAGCUUGUUGGCGGGGUAACGGCCCACCAAGGCGACGAUCAGUAGGGGUUCUGAGAGGAAGGUCCCCCACAUUGGAACUGAGACACGGUCCAAACUCCUACGGGAGGCAGCAGUGAGGAAUAUUGGUCAAUGGGCGAGAGCCUGAACCAGCCAAGUAGCGUGAAGGAUGACUGCCCUAUGGGUUGUAAACUUCUUUUAUAAAGGAAUAAAGUCGGGUAUGUAUACCCGUUUGCAUGUACUUUAUGAAUAAGGACCGGCUAAUUCCGUG